rnacentral:lncRNA from 1 species
UACUGGACUACCUCCUCUUACUAAAGGAGCAGGGUCUGGCUCUCUCGUCGCUAAAAGUCCACCUAGCGGCAAUUUCAGCUUUUCACCCCCGGGACGGGGCGGGUUCUGUUUUCUCCAACCCCAUGGUCACUAGGUUCCUUAAGGGGUUAGAACGGCUACACCCACCGGUGCGCCGCCCGGUCCCUACAUGGGACCUCAACCUAGUCAUUACCAGGCUCAUGGGUGCCCCAUUCGAGCCCAUGGCCACUUGUUCCAUGCUGUAUCUCUCAUGGAAAACGGCCUUUCUAGUGGCCAUCACCUCGGCUAGACGCGUCUCUGAGCUCAGAGCGCUUACUUCGGAACCACCUUAUACGGUGUUCCAUAAGGAUAAAGUACAGCUCAGGCCACACCCGGCCUUCCUGCCCAAGGUUGUGUCGGCUUUCCAUAUUAACCAAGACAUUUUUCUACCUGUCUUUUAUCCUAAGCCCCAUGCCUCCAGGAAGGAGCAGCAACUCCAUUCCCUGGAUGUCCGGAGAGCCCUCGCCUUCUACAUCGAGAGGACAAAGCCCUUCCGGAAGUCGACCCAGCUGUUCAUCGCCGUGGCGGACCGGAUGAAAGGCCUUCCCGUCUCUUCCCAGCGCAUCUCGUCAUGGAUCACGUCGUGCAUCCGCACAUGCUAUGACUUGGCAGGUGUCCCCACCAUGCACACUACGGCCCACUCUACCCGAGCUCAGGCCUCGUCGUCUGCCUUCUUGGCACACAUACCUAUACAAGACAUUUGUAGGGCCGCGACAUGGUCGUCAGUACACACUUUUGCCUCGCACUAUGCCAUAGUGCAACAUUCUAGAGACGACGCCGCUUUUGGUUCGGCGGUCCUAAACUCUGCUGUAUCACAAUCCGACCCCGCCUCCUAGGAAUGGCUUGGGAGUCACCUAACUGGAAUACAUAUGAGCAAGCACUCGAAGAAGAAAACACGGUUACUCACCGUAGUAAAUAGUGUUCUUCGAGAUGUGUUGCUCAUAUGUAUUCCAAACCCGCCCCCCUUCCCCACUGUCGGAGUAGCCGGCAAGAAGGAACUGAGGGGGCGAUGGGCCGGC